rnacentral:rRNA from 1 species
GACGAACCGUGCGAACGUUAUUCGGAAUCACUGGGCUUAAAGCGCGUGUAGGCGGGACGGCACGUCUGUCGCUGAAAUCCCCCGGCUUAACCGGGGAACUGGCGUAGAUACGACCGUCCUGGAGGGGCGUAGGGGGAUCUGGAACUUCCGGUGGAGCGGUGAAAUGCGUUGAUAUCGGAAGGAACGCCGGUGGCGAAAGCGGCGGACUGGAUCUCUUCUGACGCUGAGGCGCGAAAGCUAGGGGAGCAAACGGG